AUACGGAAGGUCCUAGCGUUGUUCGGAAUUACUGGGCGUAAAGCGCAUGUAGGCGGAACAGAAAGUUAGAAGUGAAAUCCCUGGGCUCAACCUAGGAAUUGCUUUUAAAACUUCUGUUCUGGAAUUCAGGAGAGGAAAAUGGAAUUUCCAGUGUAGAGGUGAAAUUCGUAGAUAUUGGAAGGAACACCAGUGGCGAAGGCGAUUUUCUGGACUGAUAUUGACGCUGAGAUGCGAAGGCAUGGGUAGCAAACGGGAUUAGAUACCCCAGUAGUCC
rnacentral:rRNA from 1 species